UAAAUGCACAUUUAAAAAACAAAGGCAAACAAUCUUUAUCAGGAAGAAGAUUCAAAUUGUGUGCAGGGACUGUGCCCAUAAUUUUAGCAACACUGUUGCUACGAGUAGUGACAACAAUUUUACUUCCAUUGGCACCUCCCAUUAAAAAGGUUUUCAAUUCAAGCCAUUUUCUACGGUCAUCAUUCCACACAUCAUCUAGGAUGAGUA
rnacentral:misc_RNA from 1 species